GACGAACGCUGGCGGCGUGCUUAACACAUGCAAGUCGAACGGUGAACCACCUUCGGGUGGGGAUCAGUGGCGAACGGGUGAGUAACACGUGGGCAACCUGCCCCUAGCUCUGGGAUAACCCCGGGAAACCGGGGCUAAUACCGGAUAUGACUCCGAGCGGCAUCGCUUGGAGUGGAAAGUUUUUCGGUCUAGGGAUGGGCCCGCGGCCUAUCAGCUUGUUGGUGGGGUAACGGCCUACCAAGGCGACGACGGGUAGCCGGCCUGAGAGGGCGACCGGCCACACCUGGGACUGAGACACGGCCCAGACUCCU
rnacentral:rRNA from 1 species